CUUCCCGGGGUCUGUCCGGUGAUUCCAUGCCUUACCCUCCCAGUCCGAGCUCAGGAACCAAAUUCCGCAGACCAAGCAGCAGACAACAGCUGCAAAUCACCUCUUUCUGCAUACUUCAACUUGGUAUCUUCUACAAGGAAUGUGCACAAGCCAGCAGGGCAAGAAGACUGUGUGCUGCACAUUUAAAUUGGAUGAAAACGGACACGAGAAAGAAUCGAGACGCCAAUGUGGAGUUGUACACACCGCGUCACUGCACGCCUGAAUCUGUCUCCGAGGCCUGGCCAGCGGCGAAGCACCCAGCGCCUCCUACGCCCCAGCUUCCUCCAGGAGCGUGGGCUGGCGGGCAGCUCUAACUCAGGCAGCGGCCGCUAACGCGGAGUGAAUCUUCCUCUCCGCCCAGAGCAGCAAUAUUGCUUGUGCCUGCUUGAUUCAGAUUCUGCAGUGGAUACCAGGGACCGAGGAUCAGACGCCAAUACGCUUCUUACUGAGAGAAGAACAACAGUUGUGGGGAAAACACACCGGCACAGGGCGACAUCAAAUGGCUUCAGCAAAUGCCCAGGGAGCUGACUGUUCCCACAGCAACAAGAAAACAUUCUAAGCUAGAAAGUCUGCCAGCAAGUUAUG